rnacentral:rRNA from 1 species
GACGUAGGGCGCGAGCGUUGUCCGGAUUUAUUGGGCGUAAAGAGCUCGUAGGCGGCUUGUCGCGUCGACUGUGAAAACCCGCGGCUCAACUGCGGGCCUGCAGUCGAUACGGGCGGACUUGAGUGUUGCAGGGGAGACUGGAAUUCCUGGUGUAGCGGUGAAAUGCGCAGAUAUCAGGAGGAACACCGGUGGCGAAGGCGGGUCUCUGGGCAACUACUGACGCUGAGGAGCGAAAGCGUGGGGAGCGAACAGG